rnacentral:antisense_RNA from 1 species
CUUCACCGAGCCCAGCAGCAGCGGGCUCUCGCGGUCCUGCCCGUAGGUGGCCAGCAACGCCUGCGCCUC